rnacentral:lncRNA from 1 species
AACUAUAGAGUACCUGGUCCGUUAUGAGAUGAUAUGUAGAAUGUAAUAAAGAUUGAUGUAAAGAAGUUAAGAGAUUUUCUACGUGGAAAAAAUCCCACACAAGGGGAUCAAAAAAACCACGACCUACUUUUGUUGGCGUUUAACUCUACUAACUUGUUGUCUACCUAUUAGAAGCCACUUUACAAAAACCCUAUUGCAAAGACUUCAAACUAAUUUGUGAUGCAACCACCACAAGCCACUCUAUAACUCUCUUAGUUACAAAGGAUUUGAACUUAUGACUAUCCU